UCGCGGGUAGCGUGUUUGUUUUGGGUACAAAAUGUCACAGGUUCAAAUCCUGUCAUGCGGA
rnacentral:tRNA from 1 species